rnacentral:rRNA from 2 species
UCUCCUGGAAAACGGGUGGUAAUGCCGGAUGCUCCAGUUGAUCGCAUGGUCUUCUGGGAAAGCUUUCGCGGUAUGGGAUGGGGUCGCGUCCUAUCAGCUUGACGGCGGGGUAACGGCCCACCGUGGCUUCGACGGGUAGCCGGCCUGAGAGGGCGACCGGCCACAUUGGGACUGAGAUACGGCCCAGACUCCUACGGGAGGCAGCAGUGGGGAAUAUUGCACAAUGGGCGCAAGCCUGAUGCAGCGACGCCGCGUGAGGGAUGGAGGCCUUCGGGUUGUAAACCUCUUUUAUCGGGGAGCAAGCGUGAGUGAGUUUACCCGUUGAAUAAGCACCGGCUAACUACGUGCCAGCAGCCGCGGUAAUACGUAGGGUGCAAGCGUUAUCCGGAAUUAUUGGGCGUAAAGGGCUCGUAGGCGGUUCGUCGCGUCCGGUGUGAAAGUCCAUCGCUUAACGGUGGAUCCGCGCCGGGUACGGGCGGGCUUGAGUGCGGUAGGGGAGACUGGAAUUCCCGGUGUAACGGUGGAAUGUGUAGAUAUCGGGAAGAACACCA